rnacentral:rRNA from 1 species
UGUUUCGGCUAGGGGGUCAUCCCGACUUACCAACCCGAUGCAAACUACGAAUACCGAAGAAUGUUAUCACGGGAGACACACGGCGGGUGCUAACGUCCGUCGUGAAGAGGGAAACAACCCAGACCGCCAGCUAAGGUCCCAAAGUCAUGGUUAAGUGGGAAACGAUGUGGGAAGGCACAGACAGCCAGGAUGUUGGCUUAGAAGCAGCCAUCAUUUAAAGAAAGCGUAAUAGCUCACUGGUCGAGUCGGCCUGCGCGGAAGAUGUAACGGGGCUAAACCAUGCACCGAAGCUGCGGCAGCGACACUAUGUGUUGUUGGGUAGGGGAGCGUUCUGUAAGCCUGCGAAGGUGUGCUGUGAGGCAUGCUGGAGGUAUCAGAAGUGCGAAUGCUGACAUAAGUAACGAUAAAG